UACGUAGGGUGCAAGCGUUGUCCGGAAUUAUUGGGCGUAAAGAGCUCGUAGGCGGUCUGUCGCGUCGGAUGUGAAAAUCCAGGGCUCAACCCUGGACCUGCAUUCGAUACGGGCAGACUAGAGUUCGGCAGGGGAGACUGGAAUUCCUGGUGUAGCGGUGAAAUGCGCAGAUAUCAGGAGGAACACCGGUGGCGAAGGCGGUUCUCUGGGCCUGUACUGACGCUGAGGAACGAAAGCGUGGGGAGCGAACAGG
rnacentral:rRNA from 1 species